UAAUACGUAGGUGGCAAGCGUUGUCCGGAUUUACUGGGCGUAAAGCGCGCGCAGGCGGCCUGUUAAGUCUGCUGUAAAAUCUCCCGGCUUAACCGGGAGGAGCCAGCGGAUACUGGCAGGCUUGAGGCAAGCAGAGGAAGGUGGAAUUCCCGGUGUAGUGGUGAAAUGCGUAGAUAUCGGGAGGAACACCAGUGGCGAAGGCGGCCUUCUGGGCUUGUCCUGACGCUGAGGCGCGAAAGCGUGGGGAGCGAACCGGAUUAGAUACCCGGGUAGUCCACGCCGUAAACGAUGGGUACUAGAUGUGGGGGGUAUCGACCCCCUCCGUGUCGAAGCUAACGCGUUAAGUACCCCGCCUGGGGACUACGGCCGCAAGGCUA
rnacentral:rRNA from 1 species